rnacentral:rRNA from 1 species
CCUACGGGUGGCAGCAGUGGGGAAUAUUGCUCAAUGGGGGGCACCCUGAUGCAGCGACGCCGCGUGAGUGAAGAAGUAUUUCGGUAUGUAAAGCUCUAUCAGCAGUGAAGAAAAUGACGGUACCUAACUAAGAAGCCCCGGCUAACUCCGUGCCAGCAGCCGCGGUAAUACGUAGGGGGCAAGCGUUAUCCGGAUUUACUGGGUGUAAGGGAGCGUAGACGGCAGAGCAAGUCUGAAGUGAAAGCCCGCGGCCUAACUGAGGGACUGCUUUUGAAACUGCCCGGCUAGAGUGCUGGAGAGGUAAGCGGAAUUCUUAGUGUAGCGGUGAAAUGCGUAGAGAUCAGGAGGAACACCAGUGGCGAAGGCGGCUUACUGGACAGUAACUGACGUUGAGGCUCGAAAGCGUGGGGAGCAAACAGGAUUAGAUACCCCAGUAGUC